AUACGUAGGUGGCAAGCGUUGUCCGGAAUUAUUGGGCGUAAAGCGCGCGCAGGUGGUUCCUUAAGUCUGAUGUGAAAGCCCCCGGCUCAACCGGGGAGGGUCAUUGGAAACUGGGGAACUUGAGUGCAGAAGAGGAUAGUGGAAUUCCAAGUGUAGCGGUGAAAUGCGUAGAGAUUUGGAGGAACACCAGUGGCGAAGGCGACUUUCUGGUCUGUAACUGACGCUGAGGCGCGAAAGCGUGGGGAGCAAACAGGAUUAGAUACCCUGGUAGUCCACGCCGUAAACGAUGAGUGCUAAGUGUUGGGGGGUUUCCGCCCCUCAGUGCUGCAGCUAACGCAUUAAGCACUCCGCCUGGGGAGUACGGUCGCAAGACUGAAACUCAAAUGAAUUGACGGGG
rnacentral:rRNA from 1 species